GAUCUCAUGCUGCUUGAGGUUAUUCCCAUAACUUAGUAGUUAUGCUGGUAUUUUAGAAACAUGUGUUAAGUGCUAACGUUACAGUUGUAAAUUUUUAUCCCUUUCUGUCCUCUCUACCUGACAAUAAACUUGGGUCUUCGGUGACCCUCGUCUCCUUAUUCUUGUUAGUGGUUUGCUAUAUUGCAGCGAAUCUGCUACCCACUCGACCUCAAGAUAGAUAAAAAUAACCAACAGAAAGGGAAAAGAGAUUACAAAAUUAAACGAGGAAACAACCCAACUCACAUUUUAACAAGAGGAAUCAUUGGUCUAGCUACAAAAGAGAUUUAUUAACAUGAUGGUUGUUACACAAAUAAGGCGAAAGAUUUAGCUUAAAAAAACGAACGAGAGAUUACAAAAACCAGAACAACACAGCACAAUGCAAACAAGAUUCAAAAUAAACAGCAGAACUUGAACAUGCAAAUCCACAAGGGUACCACCACCAUCACCACCUUCAAUUCAACCUCAUACACACAUGCAUAUAUUCAUGCAUGCAUGACUAAUAAGUUCCUUGUGUGGCCUCAUUAAUUCUACCCUGAGCAUAACUUCCAUAAUCCUUUGCCCUCUCCUUCACAUCCCUUGCCUUAUCAGUAAGGUACCCUUUUGCAUAGUCAAGGGUGUCAGAACCCGCAGGCUGGUUCCCAGAAACGUAGUUGUAAAUCCAAGAUAAAGCAGCAAUGGCAGCCACACCACAGCCCCCAGAGAACAAAAAGCCAGAAGCAACCAGGAACAGCACAAACGCAGCAGGGACAAGGAUGGGGCUGAAGAUAACAAGAAGAGGGGUUGCAAUGAUCAAACCUAUGACAGUGCCUGUGAGGGUCAACCCAGACAGGAGUAAGAGUGUGAUGCCAAUAGUUGCAGCAGUUAUGAACUUCACGGUUUGGCGUGAAGGAGGGUUGUUAAUGCUGCUGUUGGUCUCAUAGGUGGUUCCAUAGGGUGCUCCAUAGGAGGUUCCAUAGGAGUAGGAUCCUCUUGGUUGAUCAGUAGAAAUGGUUGCCAUGGUUGGUAUUUUUUCUCUUGCUAAACCAAGUGUUGAUGAGAGUAUUGAGUGAGAGAGGU
rnacentral:lncRNA from 1 species